ensembl:lncRNA
UUCAAACAUUCCCUGUUGUGACAACGACAACCACAUUGUUGGCAUUGUAUUGGUUUUCAAACACCCCCACUUCAAAAAAGUGCUCCUCCACCAACUGCACAUCUGCAAGCAGCUCCUGGAGGUUGUUUUGACUCAGGUAUGUCAUCAGGACAGUCGAGGUCAAUUUCAACGUGAGUUUCACAUCCCCCUUAUUGACCCAGACUGUCCCGGUGGCAGCCUUUACAUAUGACCCGACCUUCUGAUAGAAGCCACAGGCCUCGCAGCAAUGGUUUAUGGCCUUUAUGUUGAAGGCCAGCUGCCCUUCGUGGCAGCUGCUGCACUGCCGUUGGUAAGCUAGUUGGAUGCCACAGACUGGUCCCUGCACGGCGGUGAUCCCCUCCUGCUCCACCUCCUCCUCCUCCUCCUCCU